rnacentral:lncRNA from 10 species
GCACUCAUUUGCCUGCAAAGCAACUUGCCAUGGGAGAUGUCGAAAAUGUUUCCAAGAUUCUGGAUACUGCAGCUAACUAGAUUGUUUUCCUUUUGCUUGUAAACAUUCAUGAAAUUAAGAUUAAGUUUGGAGAAAAUAUCUGGAUGUAUUGAGUUUAAAGUGUCUAUGACAUAUCCAAGUGGAAAUAAAAAUAUAGUUCUAAAAUAAAAAGGAUCGAUCUGAGCUUGAGGUGUAUAUUAGACAGACAGCUGUGCAUUGCAUAGAGAGAAUGCAUGAAAUGUGUUUCCUGUGUCUCACUUGCUACUUUUCACCCCCUGCGUAUGUGUUCUCUGGUUUAGAAUUUGGUGGGGAUGUCUACGUGGAGAUAUUGACUUGACAUUUAUUAAAAAAGAAGAAAAGACUGCAAAGGAAAACUAACAAAAUUCACACAUCCUGACUGUGUACGAAUAAUAUGAUGAGACACCCAAAUGCAUUCAGCAGCCUUUCUGUGAAAUAAUAUGCCAAUCUUUAAGGAAAAAAAGUUUCUGGCUUUCCACAGGAGACAUAAAGCAUGAAUAUAUUUUUAUGUAUUUUUUUAAUUGACAAAUAACAUUGUAUGAUUUUGUUGUGUACAACAUGGCAUCCUGAAGUAUAUAUACAACGACUAAAUCUAGCUAAUUAACAAAGGCAUUACCUCUCAUAGUUAUCAUUGUUGUGCUGAGAGUAUAUAACACUCAUUCUUUUUAUAUUUUUAAAGAAUAUUAUAUAUUGUCAUUAUCUAUAGUCACCUUGCUGUACAGAGAUCUGAAAUGUAUUACUUCUGUCUAACUGUACCUAUGUAUUCCAUGACCAAUAUCUCCCUAUCUCAUUUCCUCUAAAAACCCCAGCCUCUGGGAACCAUCAUUUUCCUCUCUACUUCAAUGAAAUGAACUUUUUUUCAAUUUCAUGUAUCAGUGAAAGAUCAUGUGGUAUUUGUAUUUCUUUGCUUGUCUUAUUUUCCGUAACAUAAUGUCUUCCAGGUUCAUCUAUGUGUUUACAAAUGGUAGAAUUGCAUUUUCUUUCAGGCUGAAUAAUAUGCCAUUGUGUAUAUAUUAUAUAUUUUCUUUAUCCGUCACCCACUGAUGGACCUUUAGGUUAAUUCCAUAUCUCAGCUACUGUGAAUAGUAUUACAAUAAACAUGAGAAAGCAGUUAUUUGGGGCAUCCGAUUUCAUGUCCUUUGCAAAUAUACCCAAUAGCGGGAUUGCAGAACCAUAGAGUACUUUCUAUUUUUCAUGUUUUUAGAAAGAGAGUUGUUCAUAAUGACUGUACUAAUUUUCAUUCCCAUCAACUGUGUAUAACUGUUCCCUUUUCUCCAUAUUGUUGUCAAUAUAUAUCUUUUGUCUUUUAAUAAUAGCUAUUUGAACUGGGAUGAGGUAGUAUUUCAUUGUCGUUUUUGAUUUGUGAAGUUGAGUAUUUUUUACUUAUCUGUUGGCCAUUUGUACAUUUUCUUUUAAGAAAUGUCUAUUCAGGUCUUUUGCCUAUUUUUUAAUUAGGUUAUUAUUAUCAUUAUUAUUAUUUUUGCAAAAGCUAGUGGUAUCACACUAUCUGACUUCAAAAUAGACAACAAAUUAUAGUAACAAAAAUAGCAUGGUAUUGGCAUAAAAACAGCUACAUAGACCAAUGUAACAAGACAGAGAGCCCAGAAUAAACUGCAUUUACAGCCAAUUGUUUUUUGACAAAAAUACGAAGAAUGCACACUGGGAAAAGGAGAGUUUCUUUAAUAAAAUUUUUGAGAAAACUAGAUAUCUACAUGCAGAAGAAUUAAAUUAAACCUUAUCUCUUUGCCUAUAAAAGUCAACUAGAAGUGGAGUAAGAAAUUAAAUGUAAGACCUGAAACUAUGAUAGCACUAGAAGAAACACAAGGACAAUGCUUCAUGCAGUUGGUCUGGGCAAGAAUUUUUUGAAUAUGUCAUCACAAACCUAGGCAGCAAAAACAAAAAUAGACUAAUGGGGUGACAGCAAACUAAAAAUCUUCCACACAGCAAAAGAAACAAUCAACAAAGUGAAAACAGAAUUACAUAAUAGAAGAAAAUAUUUGAAACUAUACAUCUCACAAGGAGUUAAUAUCCCAAUAUAUAAGGGAGUCAAAGCACAGACUUAAAAUCUUAGUGUAAACUAUCUAUUUAACUUUUUUAAAAAAUUAGACUUCAUUAAAUUAACUUCAUUGUUAUCUAUUUUAUUAGUUUUUAAGAAUAUGUCUUUCUUAUUAUUUUGGAAAGAUUUUUUCUUAAGGGCAAUUUAGAAGUUUUUUCUCAUAUAAUUCUGAUAAAUUGACUGUAAAACAUUUGUUACAUGAAAGCAAGCAGAGUCUAAAAAAAAAGUCAGAUGGUAAGUAAAAUUUUCAUGAAAAUGAAAGGCACCUCCAAAGCACCAUUUGCAUACAUCAGUGUGCUAAUGCUACUUUCCCAAUAUCACCUGCAGCUUCUUACAUCUCUAAUGGAAAUUGAAUGAAUUCACAGAUUAUUAGCUUGUAGGAGCCUUAGUAGAGAAUAAAAUCUUAGCAGGUUUAGCAUAUUCUGUGGCAGCAGUACACAAUACUAAAGUAGCUAAAGAGUCUUGGCUUGUCUGCUUAAGUGCAUAUAUCUUAUUUUAAUAUUUUUAGUGCCAUUUUCCAAAUUAAAUAUUGAAGUGGUCUUGUUUUCACUGAAUAGAAUAAGAAAUGGCCCCUUUGCAUUAGGACUGGGAAAGAAAACAUUUCUACUUAAAAAGCAUUAGCGAUGCAAUGUGGUGCGUUUUUGAGUUGCAUUUUAUCAAUUUAUUUGACUUGAAAUACAGCGAUAUAUAAAUGUUAGUAGUCACUAAGCACAUGGCAGGCAGGUGCAGCAUGCUUUGCCAGUGGAGAGCUGACAUUUUUAUGAGAUUGCUCAGCUGGAAUGGCAAAGGAGCAUUGGAGAAGUAAGAGAGAAACAGCUGUCACCCACUCAUUUUAUUUUCAAUUGUAGUAUCUUGGAGGGAAAGAAAUUACAUUAAAAUGAAAUAUCUAUCAUGAUUGAGAUAGAGGCAUUAUAUCCAUGCUGUUUGAAUCCAUUACCUUUACAUUGAAAGAAUUUUAAAUGCAUAAUAAUAUGUCUUAUCAGGAUAUAUUCAGAGAAAUAUGUGUUUAUUGAGCUGAAAUGCAUUAUAUAUUAUGUAUGGUAACCACAAUCUAAAAUUACAUGUUUUUUUUUCUUUGUGAUAAUGUGAAUACCUUAAUUGAGCCUCAUUCUCUUUUCCAGUACCUCUUUUGACAAAUGCUAGGCAUGGUUAAGAGAACAAUGUAAGAUUCUAGAAUAAAGAAAUGCAAAGAAAAAUACAUGUUACCCAAACUGAUAAUCUUGUCAUUUGAAAUAAGCAACUGAGCUAGUGGAUCAAUCAAGUACACCAAGAAAACAAACCAAUAUAGAGAAACUCUGAUAAAGAGACUACAAUGGGGGGGUUGGUUACAAAAAGGACAAACUACUAAGGAGGACAGAGUAUUCGGCAGUCUUCCAGAAGGACAAAUGCAUUAGGAUUUGAAAAAUAUAAUUAUAUUGCAAAAGUGAAAAGAAAAUCAUUCCUAAUAAAAUAUAUUUGAGAAGCAUUAUGAAAAGGUAUAAAUUAAUUACAUAUAGGUGGGAAACGGAAGAAAACCUCUUUUGUAAAACCAAGUGAAAAUGAUUGCCAAUGAUGUUUAUAAAGAGAUUUGAAGGCUGGGUGCAGUGGCUCACACUUGUAAUCCCAGGACUUUGGGAGGCUGAGGCGGGCAGAUCACCUGACAUCAGGAUUUUGAGACCAGCUUGACCAACAUGGAGAAACCCCGGAUCUACUAAAAAUACAAAAUUAGCUGGGCAUGGUGAGACAUGCCUGUAAUCCCAGCUACUCAGGAGGUUGAGGCAGGAGAAUCACUUGAACACUGGAGGCAGAGAUGGCAGUGAGCCGAGAUCACACCAUUGCACUCCAGCCUGGGCAACAAGAGUGAAACUUCAUCUCAAAAGAACAACAACAAAAAUAAAUUAAAAAAUAAAGAGAUUUGAAAUCAUAGACUGGAGAUGAUUAAGUGGGUCACAAUGUUAUCUUUGUUUCUGCAGCUUACCUCUAACCUUACCCCCACAACCAAGACAAAUCCAAGAUUAUGAAACUUUGGUUGGCGAAGACUUUGUGAUUUUAUUGACAGCAUAAUGUAGGACAAGUGGCUUUCAGAAAAAUGACAUCAGAGAAAGAAUGGAUGUACCACUUUUACAUUAAAAUAAUUCUACCAAAUUAGAAAUGCAUGUAUUAUGAUAUUAUAGAAGAAAGUAGUUAAUACCCAGAAAUAGGGGAUUUCUUGAGCUCCUCUCUUCCAUCUAUUUUGAGUUACAUCUUAUACCUCCUCCUUUCUGUAGAGGGAUUGGACUUGAGAUUUAAAAGAAAAAAUUAUUGAUUCACUGAAGAUUCUUGUUCUCAAGUCAAAAAAGGAGCCUCAACAAAAGCAAAAUAAAAGGAACCAUGGAAAGAGAAGAGGAGAGGAAAUCUUCAGAAAAAAGCAGCAGCCUCCAGAAGCACCAUUUGAAAGAUUUUGGUAGAAAGGCUGUAAAGGAGAGACACAGCUAACCUGGACAUAUGAUGAUUUACAUCUCACUCACAAACCUGGAGCUGUCAGCCAAGUUCUGAUGAAACAAUCUCUUGGGGGAUGAUUAUGUACAUCUUUGCAAAAAAAUGGAAAACUCUUUUCCCACAUCUCAUCACCAUAAAUAAGAGAGAAAUAGUUAUUGUGAAUUACACCUCAAUGAAGAGAUGUAGGCCUAGACAGCAACAGGCUACGUGACUGAAAAAAAAAAAGUAAUUGAUGUUAAUCAGUCUGACUUCUAUGUUUUCCAAGGUUAUUUAGAGAUCAAUUUUUGAAAAAGAAAAGCAUUUAAUGAACUAAUUUACUCAGUAAUAAUAAAAUGCAGGCAUAAAAGGUAAUGCAAAUAUCUGUUGAAUAACUAAUAUAAGCCAGGCCUUAUUAUAGGUGGGGAUAUAGCAGUAAAUAAAAUAGACAAAGUCCUGUCCAUAUGUUGAUUAUAUACCAGUGGAGAUGUGCUACAUAUAACAAAUUGGAAUAACAUGAAUAAGGAGGAAGAAAAGCAAGAGGAAGAAAAAUGGUGCAAACUGCAAAGCUACCUGAGAGAAACGACAAUAAGCUGUCAAACGGAUAUCUUACAAGUUGAGCAUGUGUUGCUUUGACAAAUUUGCUUCCAUGGUAGUAUCACCCAAUAAAAAUGAACUUCUUAGAGAUAAAAAAUUAAACAAAUUCAUUAUUUUAAAAGUGAAAUUAAAUUUAUUAAUUCACAAUAAAAGGACAACCUAUUAUCAUAUAUUCUCUCUCCAGGCAAAGGUUAAAGUAGCAUUUUUAAAGAAAUAUUUAUUUUUAAGUUACAGAGUACACAUGCAGGAUGUGCAGGUUUGUUACAUAGGUAAACGUGUGCAUUGGUGAUUUGAUGCACCUAUAAACCCAUCAUCUAGGUAUUAAGCCC